UGGGCAGUUUGACUGGGGCGGUCGCCUCCCAAAAGGUAACGGAGGCGCUCAAAGGUUCUCUCAGUACGGUCGGAAAUCGUACGUAGAGUGUAAAGGCAAAAGAGGGCUUGAUUGCAAGACAUACAGGGCGAGCAAGGAUGAAAAUCGGACUUAGUGAUCCGGUGGUUCUGCGUGGAAGGGCCAUCGCUCAACGGAUAAAAGCUACCCUGGGGAUAACAGGCUUA
rnacentral:rRNA from 1 species